rnacentral:rRNA from 1 species
AUGACCAGCUCUCUCCCACCGCGCCGUGUCAGGCUUCGUCCCCGACGAGCCGGCGAUGGGGUGUUCCUCCGCCGCGAGCCGGAGCGCUGCGGCGAUCAGUUCUCUGAACUCUCUCUCUCUCUCACGAAGAACGCGAGUGUUUGCGAUGCGUUCAACCUCUGCAGCCUUUUCCCUUUUUCUUCUUAUUCAGUCAAGUGCUUCAGAACAGAAACUACAAGAUACCCGGUCCACGAGCGGGCUGAUCGGACGUGCCAUCCCACGUCCUCCCGAUCGCUAGGGAUACUCUCCAAACAUCUUGGCCCCACGCGCCGAUUCUUCAUCCGCGGCGGCAACUUAGGCCCCCAGGUGGAGAGCUGGUUCCAGUCCCCAGCCCUGGCUAACCUGGAGGAGCUCGACAUUAAGCUCCUCUCUGCACGACCCAAGGUGAGAUUCUCGCUGCCACCAUCCGCUCUCUCCUCCCUGGCCCUCCUCGUUGUCAAGGUCGCCUAUUGUUCUAUCCCCGACGAUAUCUCCAUGGACUUCGCACUCCUCAAGCACAUCUCCUUGCUUGACCUUUCCAUCUCCGGGGACGUGUUCCAUGGCUUGCUCUCUGCAUGCCGCGCCUUGGAGAGCUUUUAUAUGUCCAAUGUUCAUACUGCGGGUUGCCUCCGUGUCAGUUCGCCGACUCUUAGGAGCAUCGGCUUCAGCAAAGAAUAUUGUGGGAAAUCAGAUAUCAUCAUUGAGGAUGCUCCUCUCCUUGUGAGGUUCAUUUUACCUUGUACUUAUAAUUGUGUGGCUAUCCGGGUAGUUAGGGCGCCAAAACUCCAGAUAUUGGGCCCUUUAUUUAUCGCCAUCUCCACGAUAGUUGUCUCCCAGGGAAUAAGACCAGACAGCUCGGCAAACUCCAUGCGCACUGUGAAGGUUUUGUCUCUCAGGUGUUCUGGCCAGGAAUUGGAUGCGGUUCUUAACGUCCUCAGGUGGUUUCCCUGUUUGGAAAAACUCUACAUCGUUGGUACUCUUUUGGUCACAUGGAACAGUGUUAUGAGUUCGAUGGAGAGGGCAGUUUACUUGUCACUCUCCUAUGGUUCUAAGUGUAGGUGCUAA